UACGUAGGGUGCAAGCGUUGUUCGGAAUUACUGGGCGUAAAGCGCGUGUAGGCGGCUUCGUUAGUCGGAUGUGAAAGCCCUCGGCUCAACCGAGGAAGUGCAUCCGAUACUGCGGAGCUUGAGUGUCGGAGGGGGUGGUGGAAUUCCCGGUGUAGAGGUGAAAUUCGUAGAUAUCGGGAGGAGCACCUGUGGCGAAGGCGACCACCUGGACGACAACUGACGCUGAGACGCGAAAGCGUGGGUAGCAAACAGG
rnacentral:rRNA from 1 species